rnacentral:rRNA from 1 species
AGGGCACCACCAGGAGUGGAGCCUGCGGCUUAAUUUGACUCAACACGGGAAAACUCACCCGGCCCGGACACCGUAAGGGUUGACAGAUUGAGAGCUCUUUCUUGAUUCGGUGGGUGGUGGUGCAUGGCCGUUCUUAGUUGGUGGAGCGAUUUGUCUGGUUAAUUCCGAUAACGAACGAGACUCUAGCCUGCUAAAUAGGCAGUGGAUUCUUAGUCCACUGUACUUCUUAGAGGGACAAGCAGCGUCUAGCUGCACGAGAUUGAGCAAUAACAGGUCUGUGUUGCCCUUAGAUGUUCGGGGCUGCACGCGCGCUACACUGAAGGAAUCAACAUGCUUCUCAACCUUGCCCGGAAGGGCUAGGUAACCCGUUGAAACUCCUUCGUGAUUGGGAUAGGGAAUUGCAAUUAUUUCCCUUGAACGAGGAAUUCCCAGUAAGUGCGGGUCAUCAGCUCGCGCUGAUUACGUCCCUGCCCUUUGUACACACCGCCCGUCGCUACUACCGAUUGGAAGUAUACGAGA